rnacentral:rRNA from 1 species
GACGAACGCUGGCGGCGUGCUUAACACAUGCAAGUCGAACGGAAAGGCCCUGCGUUUGUUGGGUGCUCGAGUGGCGAACGGGUGAGUAACACGUGUGUAACCUGCCCUUGACUUUGGGAUAACUUCAGGGAACUGGGGCUAAUACCGGAUAGGAGCUCCUGCUGCAUGGUGUGGGUUGGAAAGUGUCGGCGGUGGGGGAUGGACUCGCGGCUUAUCAGCUUGUUGGUGAGGUAGGCGCUUACCAAGGCUUUGACGGGUAGCCGGCCUGAGAGGGUGACCGGCCACAUUGGGACUGAGAUACGGACCAGACUCCUACGGGAGGCAGCAGUGGGGAAUAUUGCACAAUGGGCGGAAGCCUGAUGCAGCAACGCCGCGUGCGGGAUGCCGGCCUUCGGGUUGUAAACCGCUUUCGACUGUGACGAAGCGUGAGUGACGGUAAUGGGUAAAGAAGCACCGGCUAACUACGUG